AUCCCAUGUAGGCUGCUGUCUGCAGGGCUGCUUUAGGGCAUCCGUGGCUCUGAGUCUGCAGUUCUGCACUUGUGUGUGCAAUAUGCAACACGACGAAGUGCAGACACUUCUUCCCAGAGACAUGCACAGAUGCUUCAGCCCAUUGCCCUAGGGGGGAUUUGUUCGGAUCUCUCUCCGUACCACCGUGCGUACAUAGAGGAGUUGGGGUUGGAGAGAGCUGACAACAUCUCCUUUACAGGGUGGGAAGAGCAGCCUGUGCCUCUGGCGUGUCUCAUCCCAGGAAGAGGAGUGCCAGACACAUGUUUGCUGGGCAUGGCCAUACAGCCAGCACAGGCCAUGUGUUCAGCGUACAUGGAUAACCCAAACUCUAGAGGUGCUGGUGCAAGGGCAGAGUUGCAGAGCCACACGUUGAAGCAGAGCAAGCCACUAGCAAGGCUUUCAUGGCCAACCCUAUGGUUCUGUGAUCCUCACCUGGAGCACAGCCACCCACCUGGCCUUCACUGCCAGAGGGGCUUGCUUGGUCUGAUGUGGCCUGGAGAGGUGUGUGGUGGGGCAAAGAGGUUCACUGCAGGAAGAGACUGAAGGUGAUGUGCUGAAGUUGGAUGAUGGUGGUAGUAGUGCUCACGGAGCCCAUUGUACAGGCUGGCCCAUGUUCCCUGCUUACUCAGCACAAAGAAGGCCUUAGGCAGUCAGGUGGGCUCUCAGUGUGUGAAACCAGAUGAUGGGGAUACAGCUGGAUCUCUCCCUUGAGUUAAAUGGGCUGAAACCCACCGGGGGCACGUCACCUGAGCACCGCUGUGCUUGGCACUGCUUUGGUAGUGCAACCCAAGUAACAAGUGUACAGGAGGAGCACAGAGGUGCCAAAUGUGAAAUAGCAUUAGGGAGUCUUCUGCAAGUGAAUCAGUACAUGGCCAGUGAUCUUGGGGACAAGUGAAACCAGCUGAAGUGAUGAUGAGGACCCAGCGCCUCUCAGGAACCUAAUAAUUCCCCUUAAAGUGUUGUGAACCUUGCAGAGGGACUAGUUCUUGGUUCGGUAUGUACAUCCCUCUUCGUGCAGCUGGAAACCAUAGUGGCUGACCCAAUAAUUACCAUAGCACAUCACCUCUGGCAAAGGCUGUAAGAAGCUGAGGAGCCACUCUCUGUCUCUUGUUUUCCUUCCAUCCUUCAUGAAGGGCCCAGCAGACAGCAGCAAUACCCCCAUUCCAGAAACAGAGUUAAUCUUAGAGUGAUACCCGCAGGACCUGACCAGGUAUUGCGUGCUGGCAGCAUAGCACUGGCAUUCCUGCGAGGCAUUAGUAAAUACCAACAACCUCAUUACUGUUAUCUUGUACCCUGCGGAGUAUUUACUUAGUGAACAGCAAAGGAAUAAAAAUAUAAAUACCUCUCCCAGGUCCUACGUUUGAUAUACAUCACUUGAUAACUAUUCUGGGAAAGGUCUUCCUCUGCUACUGCAGCAUGUGGAUCCCUAAUCCUCCUGCAGGAUCCCCCUCCCACUGAUGUCAGAGGCAAACUAUGUGCAUGGGGGAAAGGGCAAAAUGUAAUGGUGCAGAGCAGGAAGGACUUUGCCCAAAUGCCGAAAAUACUGCUGGGUGUCAGCAAAUACCACACCUGCGCUCCAGCCUCUGGCCUGUGCCCACAGUCAGGUGGAGGUUAUUGGCUGCUGGGAUGGGGCAAGCUUUGCUCAGCUUUGUGUCAGCAGGUGUGCCUUAGUCCGUCCCUUACAGAGUCUAGUGAUUUGUCUCCAGUGGUGCUCUGGGCACAGAGAAGGGCUGGCCUGCCUCUCGGUCGUACUUUCAGUCCUCUUUGGUUGGGGUUUCUCAGCCAGGUUCUGGUAUCUGUCAAACAGAGAGCUUUGGACUGAAAAGGAACUGCUCAGAUCACACUCAGGUGGAGGAAGCAUGCAAGCCAAAGCAGAAGUGUGUAGGCUGAACAGAGACCUUCUGCUGAUUUAAAUAACCCAUCCACCCAACCACCUGCUGCUCCU